GCCGGGACUACAGGCAACUGCCACUAUGCCUGGCUAAUUUUUUGUAUUUUUAAUAGAGAUGGGAUUUCACCAUGUUAGCCAGGAUGGGGUUGAUCUCCUGACCUCGUGAUCUGCCUGCCUCGGCCUCCCAAAGUGCUGGGAUUACAGGUGUGAGCCACCCCGCCUGGCCUUUUUUUUUUUUUUCUUUUUUUUCAAGACAGACUCUCACACAGUGUCGCCUAGGCUGGAGUACAGUGGCGUGGUCUCGACUCACUGCAACCUCUGCCUCCCGGGUUCAAGCAAUUCUCAUGCCUCAGCCCCCCCCAAGAAGCUGGGAUUCCAGGCGUGAGCCACUGCACCUGGCCACUCGCAGUAGAUCUUGAUUAUGAUCUGCUAAAGGCACGUCCUUGACUGCUGACCUUACAGGCCACGCCACUGGCAGCUGCCCAGAGCAGGAGCUGUUUGUGUCAGGUGCUUGUCACAGCUCUGGAGCAUGAGACCUGAGUGUGAAGAGGGGAGGGGGUCUGGGGUGGGACAGAAGCUGUGUAGGGCAGUACCUGCCCUGGGGCUCCACCUGCAAGGUCAACAGGACACAGUCCUUACAUGGUGGGGUUGAGCUGGUUUCAGUCCCAACUCAGGAGCUCCUCAGAGAGUCAGUUCCACCCACGUAGGUUGGAGCUAGCUCCUCAAUGCCACUGUGAAGGAAAACGAAGGACACAGCCUCACCAAGCACCACCCCAGCCAGGCAGGACAUCCCAGUGCUAAGGAGAGUGACCUCAGACACCAGAGACACAGCAAGUGCAGCAGAGCUGACGGCUCUGGGAACACUGGUCUUCAAAGUCUUCCCCGUUGUUGGUUUUGUUGUCUUUAUUUACAAAUAAAGUAAAUAUUUCUUAUUUAUAGAUAACAUUUUAUUUAUAAAAAUAAUAUACGUGUUGCAAAAAGUUAAAACAAUACUGAUGUGUAGCAGCAGAAAAGGAAAGUUGUCUUGAAUCCUAUUUCUCAUGGAUAAACAGAUUGCUAACAAUUGGGUUUCUCUCAGUUAAUGACAUUCUCUUCUACACACAUAAAGGUAUCUAUUCAUGUACACUUCAAUACUUACAGAUUGUAAAAAGGAAACACUUUGUA
rnacentral:lncRNA from 10 species